rnacentral:lncRNA from 1 species
GGGUCACCUCAGGCUUCAGUUAGGGCUUCCUCUUCCUUAAAGAGACAGUGCUGCUGAGUCCUCGGGGAUCCCUGUGCAAGGCAGCUGCAGAACCUAGACUGUUUGCCCCAGUUCCUCCGUGGAAUCUCACGACAUUUUAACUCAGCACAACAAUUACUUCUGUAUCUUAGAACUGGAGUAUUUCUGUGUUUGGUUUUGGUGGGUGAGUGGUAUACCUAACAGAUAUAGGUACCUGACAGAUAUAGGUACCUGACAGAUAUAGGUACCUGACAGAUAUAGGUACCUGACAGAUAGAUAUAGGUACCUGACAGAUAUAGGUACCUGACAGAUAGAUAUAGGUACCUGACAGAUAUAGGUACCUGACAGUAAAGUCGGUGCGUCCUCCCUUUCUGUUCUACCUGGCUUUUAAACUUUGAAAUGAGAAAAAAAAAA